AUCCAUUACAUUUCGCAUACUGCUUCAUGAACCCUUUGCAUGUUGCCUACCUAGAAUUGAAAUGUACAGGACAUUCCUCUGCUCCUAUUGCCCCUGUUUCCGUUCUUUUCACACUGUCUGUGGGUGCUGUGCCCUGUUGGAACUCUCUUUAACGUCUUACGUUGGAGCCGCUAACCUUCCCCAGGUGUUUGUCUUCAUUGCUUUCACAGGGAAAGAAUUACUCGUCCCACUGACGAGUUCUAUGUAUGUCCCUGGGAAGCUGCAUGAUGUGGAACACGUGCUCAUCGAUGUGGGAACUGGGUACUAUGUAGAGAAGACAGCUGAGGAUGCCAAGGACUUCUUCAAGAGGAAGAUAGAUUUUCUAACCAAGCAGAUGGAGAAAAUCCAACCAGCUCUUCAGGAGAAGCAUGCCAUGAAACAGGCCGUCAUGGAAAUGAUGAGUCAGAAGAUUCAGCAGCUCACAGCCCUGGGGGCAGCUCAGGCUACUGCUAAGGCCU
rnacentral:sRNA from 1 species